UUGUAUAUAACUAAAGUAAAUUACGUGUCAUAUAAUAUGCGGUACGACAUGCGGCAGAAAUACAUGGCUGACGGCACGUGGUUUAUACAAGGCUAAGUAUAUGGAAGCGAAUAACAAGCAUAAAGCUAUACUCUUAGAACAAGUGAUAUGUACGAAGCCUAUACGAAAGCGAAAGUUGAAGAAACCGAAUCAGAGACCCGUGUGCUGUGAUUUGGGAUGUGUUUGGUUCUGUAGACUUAUAGGGAGUAUCAUGACAAUUGCUUUGUGUUAUUUCGGAGCCUACGCAUUUAUAUCAGAUACGAAAUUGAAGUUUGGAUUGUUUGUA